CCUACGGGAGGCAGCAGUGAGGAAUAUUGGUCAAUGGGCGAGAGCCUGAACCAGCCAAGUAGCGUGCAGGAAGACGGCCCUAUGGGUUGUAAACUGCUUUUAUACGGGGAUAAAGUGAGCCACGUGUGGCUUAUUGCAGGUACCGUAUGAAUAAGGACCGGCUAAUUCCGUGCCAGCAGCCGCGGUAAUACGGAAGGUCCGGGC
rnacentral:rRNA from 1 species